CACGUAGGGCCAAGCGUUGUCCGGAUUUAUUGGGCGUAAAGAGCUCGUAGGCGGUUUGUCGCGUCUGCUGUGAAAUCCCGAGGCUCAACCUCGGGCCUGCAGUGGGUACGGGCAGACUGGAGUGCGGUAGGGGAGAAUGGAAUUCCUGGUGUAGCGGCGGAAUGCGCAGAUAUCAGGAGGAACACCGAUGGCGAAGGCAGUUCUCUGGGCCGUAACUGACGCUGAGGAGCGAAAGCGUGGGAGCGAACAGG
rnacentral:rRNA from 1 species